UACAGAGGGUGCGAGCGUUAAUCGGAAUUACUGGGCGUAAAGCGCGCGUAGGCGGCUUUGCAAGUCGGGUGUGAAAUCCCCAGGCUUAACCUGGGAACUGCAUUCGAGACUGCAUUGCUAGAGUAUGGGAGAGGGAAGUGGAAUUUCCGGUGUAGCGGUGAAAUGCGUAGAUAUCGGAAGGAAUACCUAUGGCGAAAGCAGGCUUCUGGACCAUCACUGACGCUGAGCUGCGAAAGCUAGGGGAGCAAACAGG
rnacentral:rRNA from 1 species